rnacentral:rRNA from 1 species
UACGUAGGGACCGAGCGUUUUCCGGAAUCAUUGGGCGUAAAGAGCGUGUAGGCGGCUAUUUAAGUCCUGCGUGAAAUCCUGCGGCUCAACCGCAGACGGUCGUGGGAAACUGGAUGGCUAGAGUGCGGGAGAGGAGAGUGGAAUUCCCGGUGUAGCGGUGAAAUGCGCAGAUAUCGGGAAGAACACCCGUGGCGAAGGCGGCUCGCUGGAACGCAACUGACGCUGAGACGCGAAAGCGUGGGGAGCAAACAGG